GGUUUGGAUCAAAGCUGAAUUGCAUUUGAUUGCCCUGAAGCAGAGAACAGAAGAACUCGCAUCUUGAAAUUAGACACAGUUGGAUUUUCAGUGAAGGUGUUUCAGUGAAGACUUAAAUUCUUGAAUCUGACCCUAAGUGCUGUGGUCUCAUUUUUGUGUCUGCACUGAGUUUGUUACCUGGUGCCAAAUGAUCCUCUCUUCAUCAGGAUAAAGUCACUACAUUAUCAGCUUUUCACACCAGGUACUCAUCUCAACUGGAGAAAACAGCACUUGGGAGUCAGAGAGGAAAAGUGUUCAGUGAAGAAAUUCAGUGAUGAGAGAAGAGUUUCAUUGGUGUUGGAAGGCAAACACAGAAAAGUAAACACAGCCCAGUGGAUUACAACAGAUGAAUGGUCACCACUUAGUAACAACAUUAAAUCCUGCCUUUCAAGAGUCAAAAGGACUGGAAUCUGCUUCUAAGAUAUUUAGUAAUCUACUGGAAAAGUUGGCCACCAGUUCUAGCUUUUAUCCCAAGUUUUCUGUUGUUCUGACGAUAUUUGAUGAGGAAAUUACCUGCUACAAGGAGAUGUUUAAAAAUCACAGACACCCACUGUUUUAGUGUCAUCCAUGUUUAUUGCUGAAGUUUUGCCAAAAGAACACCCUGCAGUUCUCCAGGCUUAAGAAGUGUUGCCUGUCAGAAAAGCCAGUGGAACUCCUUAACAAUAACUGGACUUGCCUUCAGCCAGCAUAAGCCUCGUUCUUCCUAAACAGAUGGAUGUUUCACAGAGAGGCAAAUGAAAGCAUCUCUAUGAAGCACCUGAGACUCCUCUGUCACCCAGUGUAACUUGUCCCAGGAAGCCCUUGGGUAUUUGCCUAGAGACAGAGAUUGUGAAUCUGAAGCUGAUACCUCUUUAGUCACUGAGAGUGGAUUUGGGAUUUUAUGUGCUGCUUAUACAGUGGUAAAACUGGGACUAUCACCAUAAAUAUUUCUGUUUGUUUAAGUUAAAGAAUGGAUGUGAUACACUUUAUGAAAACACACCAGUGACUGCAGGCAGUUUAAAAUGGUCUUAUGAGUUACAAGAGGCUUCUCAGGCAUGGAACACAUUUUCAACACAUCAAUUCUCUAGUUUUCCAGAUAGGGGAAACAAACUGUGUUUUGCAAAAAUAUGAAUAUUGGAAUAAAUGUAUUAAUAUAAUGAAGAAAUGGACCUCUGCUAGACAUGGGAUCUACACCUUCUCUGUGCCUCAGACCUCGGUGUAAUAAUUCUCUGGAAUUUGGAUGGUAUGAGGUAAUUUUAGUCAGAAGGUUACACAGUAGUAAAUUUCACUGCAUGACAUUAAGAAUUUCUUUUAAUUGUUUUAGUAAUUAUUUUGUUUUAUGGUAAAAUUCUCUUUCAUUCUAGAGAGAAGCAUAAGAUGUGUAUCUGUUUUCAUGAAUUUUUACUUCAGCGUGCAAAAAAGUGUAACAGGAUUGUGUGUUUGUAUUAUACAUGUUCCCUGAGAAGCAUUAGAGGUUUAAAAUAAGAGAAAUGACAUUUAAAUUUCAUAUUUCAUAUUUAUAUUGUACAUGGGAUCUAAAUGAAAAGACUAGAACUGCAGGACACAGAUGGCAAAGACUUGUAGCUCUUGCUUUCAAGAGGCUGCUAUAAAUUCUGCUUCAGUAAAUUCUGUAGUCAUGAUGAGGUAACUUGAGAUAGCUUUUUACUUGGUGUCUGAUUGCCCUUUUCUGAAUAACAAAAUCUUUUGUGAUUCUGUAGCUUUCUGCUAUUUCUCCAAGGGAUGUAAUAUCUUGAAAUUUUACAACAUCCUUCUAACACCCAGCAGUUUCACUGCUUUCAUAUUGCAAGAGACACACUAGGUAAAUAAAGAAGAUUCUUACUGACA